UUGGGGAUAGAGGGACUUGAACCCUCACGAUUUCUUUCUAAAGUCGACGGAUUUU
rnacentral:tRNA from 1 species